CCAAGUUGGUAACCAACCACAUAGACAUAUAUUACAAAAUUCUGGGAUCAAGCUGGGGUAUCUACAAAUUAAAAAAAACAAACAAAAAAAAACAUUGUGCAGUAUAGUUACGGUAAUCCCCUUCAGGACGGAUUCAAUAGUACACGUUCUGAUCAAAACAAAAUGUAAACAAAAACUGGAAUUUGCGCUGGUCUGUUUGGUCUGUUCAACCAUAAUUUACCUCUUUCAUAUUAAAUGCACCCACACCUAUUAUAUAUCAUUUUAUUCAGGAGAAACAGCGUUUUAAUUUCCCAUGAACUAUUCAUAUAUUAAACAUAAUUUAUUAUGAAUAAAAUAGAAAAAACUGUGAGAAAU